rnacentral:rRNA from 1 species
ACGGAGGGUGCGAGCGUUAUUCGGAAUUACUGGGCGUAAAGCGCGUGCAGGCGGGGAGGUAAGUCUGAUGUGAAAGCCCUGGGCUUAACCCGGGGAGUGCCUUGGAAACUAUCUGUCUUGAGUACGGGAGAGGAAGGGGGAAUUCCCAGUGUAGAGGUGAAAUUCGUAGAGAUCGGGAGGAAUACCAGUGGCGAAGGCGCCCGUCUGGACGGAUACUGACGCUGAGACGCGAAAGCGUGGGGAGCAAACAG